GAUUCUUCUAGAUGAAGAUGACAGAUCAUAGCGUCUAUGAAAAAAAAAUGGGGGUCCAGGGAAGAAAAUUCCAGGAGAAGUUCUACAGACCAUUUGGCUCCUUCCACAUGUGAAAGCUGAAAUGAUGUAAUGACAAAUCGACCUCCAGUUAACUCCAAGCUUACAUUAAGGAUAUGAUUUACUACGAUUCUGCUUAUUGUGGAAAAACAUUAAUCAAGUUUUCUGUCUGACAGGUUAUUCCUCCAGAAUGUCAAACUCUGCCCUAAGACCACAGCUACCUCCACAGUUCAAACCCUGGGCAACUGAUGAGCCUCCAUGUGGUCUUUCCAUGUCGACUCUUGUUCUUCUUAGCCUUUCUUCACACUGCAGCUAAAGGGGUCUUUUAAAAAAAUCUGAUCAGUUCUCGUCCCACUGAAAACUCUUCUGUUGCUCUUAAGGAAGAUUCUCUCUCUUUAACAUAACAGGUUUCUUAUGAACUGACACUGUAAAAGCCAUGUUCUGAACCACCACCGCUUCUUCAGAGCCAGGAAAGUGUCCUCCCAGCACCUCAUGACGCAUGUUGUACCCCUCUCAGGUUUGACACCGUUUUGUCUCAUAAUUCCCAAGAACCAAGAUUCAUAAUAUGGAGGAAAGAAGAUACAGAUUAAACUAGAAGAGGUUAAGUAAAAACUCACUUGUCCUGAAGUUGAAUUGGAUGAAGUUAUCAUUCACAAUAAUACUUAUGAAUAUAUAGCUCCUAUUCAAACCACAGAUCUAAACACUGAGCAGCAGCAGCUGCCAACUUCACUAAAGGAAAAGCAACCAGAGAGUCUAGGCUUCCUGAUGAAACAACACAGUAUCACCAAUGGUCUUAUCAAAGCAAAUAAACCUGAAUCAGAUCAAAGUACCAAUUGACAGGGAACACAGAGGACAGAGGAACACGUUAAACUCCACCACGGUGGCAUAACCAGUAGAACCGAGAUCAUGAGAAGCUCUGACGAUCCAACAUUUCAACAACUACCUUGCAAAGGAUAAAAGGGGCUUGGGGCAAAACUUGAGAUUAAAAGCAAAUUUUAAAACAAUCAAAAUUAAACUACAGUGUUUUGGGAUGCUCAAUUGAAUGGUAAAACUACUUGUUAAAAAGGGAAGUGACUUCAAUAAAAUUAGGAUAAUGGUUUCUUUUAGGGAAGAAGGUCCCAGCAUGUGAAGGGCUUCUUAGGUAGCUAGCAAAGUUCUGAUUACAAGAGGAUAUGCCUCUAAUGAUUCAGUGAAGUAGAAUUUUGUGUCAUGGAGUUGUCUGUAUUCAUGCUUCAUUUCAUAGUGAAAAAGAUUUUUAAAAAUCAUUUGAACAUGCUUAGGGAAUAAUAGUACCACCAUUCAAACUAGGACUAAGUGCUAUUAAAAUUAACUUUCAAGAUCACAAGCCAACACCUAAUCUCAGCAUUCUUGUCCAGCUCCUACUGGAUUUUAAGAAAUAAAAACUAGUUUGAGUCCCACACAACCAAAUAACCAAGCCUCUUUAACCUUCCAUCUCCUGUUCUUUCAUGUCAGCAAGAGGAAGUAGUCCGCCCUUUCCCUGGAAAAAAGCCUACUCAUUCAUCCCUGCCCUGGAAUGAUUGACACUGGGAACACCCAGUCCCUUUUUGAAAAACAUCUACUUCCAUUUACAAGGUGAAAUCUGGCUUCAGGGUAUCAGAAAAAAAAAAAAGAUAAUAAUAAUGGUUGUUGAUGUAUUUCCCCACAUCUGGGUCAUUCAAUAUAAACAAUAGUAUGUGAGAGAUGCCAUCACUUGAGUCCAAUCAUAUACUUAAGAAAAAUCAUUUCUUUACCUGUUCAAAAGAAUAUUCAGAUUAAAGCUGACCUUAUGUCAUAUCCAAGGCAUUAUCUUUCUAUUCUGAAAUGCAUAUUAAGAUGUUUAAUUCACUGCUUCUCCUUUAAAAUAACUCCCCUUUGGGGAUUUCCCUCCCUCAAAUCCUAUCUUGAGAUUUUCUGAAAAUAAGUUCUUAGAACAAAGGAAAUCUCAAAUUUUAUAAGUAAGGAACUCUAACAGCCCUCAGAAGAGAGUUCCCUCCAUUCACUCCUAUAGUGGCAAACUGGAUAAAGUCCUAAGUUUUAUCUUUAUCAGGUACUCAUUUUAACUCAUCCCAGUCAUCGAUUUGAAAAAAAUUUCCAUCAUUUAGCCCUUAGCUCUGUGUAUAAAUCUUAUAACCUCCUCUAAUUUCCCCAGAGUAAUUAUGACAAGGUGUGAAUCCAUCCGACCGGAAACAUUUUCCCCUUUGUUUGUUCUCACCCUUUACCAUUGUCUGCAAUAGAAACCACAAGCUGGCCACAACAUCCACUCUUUUCUCUCCUUCCUGGAGCCGAGGCUGAAAUAGAUUUCUCUAUUUUUGUGGCACUUAUUCCAGGGGGACUAAGUUCUCACCAAUGGAAACUCAACAAAAAAAUUCUCCACUUACAGGCUUUGCCCAUUAACACCUCCCACUCAUGCUGUCCAGCUCUUUCCUCUUUUUGGCCAGCUGGACUUGUGACCCAAAGGAAACCUUGGCAACUGAGGGUCGAACAUGGCAGAUUCACUGUCCCUUCCCAAUCCCUGAAGACCUCGGUGUGCUGCUGCUGACCUGAACUGCCUCCUCUAGAGAGAAAUAAACUGAUAUUUCAGCUGCUGACUUUUUAAGCGUGUCUUUGCUUGUUACCUUCCUAAUCAAUAUGGGAAGAGGCACCUAAAAGAGAAUACCAUUAAAAAAACACCUGAAGUACACAGUGUUGGCUUCAGGUGUGGACUGAAGGCAGAUAGGAGAUGGCUAUCAAUGGCUAUAGAAAGCCAGAUCCCCAAGUUAACCAUGAAAAACACUUUUAAAACACUUCAUCUCUGAUAGUUUGGAAAGUAGACCAAGAACUUACUGAGUCUGAAGCUAUAGGGAACAUAGCUGGUAAGAGUAGGAAUGCUAGUGUGCGAGGCUGAAAGCUGUGACUUUUAGCCCAGUAACGCAAAAAAAAAAAAAAAAAAAAA